rnacentral:tRNA from 6 species
GCGGAUGUGGCGGAAUUGGUAGACGCACUGGAUUUAGGUUCCAGCGCCGCAAGGCGUGGAGGUUCGACUCCUCUCAUCCGCACCA